rnacentral:rRNA from 1 species
AACGAACGCUGGCGGCAUGCCUAACACAUGCAAGUCGAACGAUUCUUUCGGGCUUAGUGCCGCACGGGUGCGUAACGCGUUGGGAUCUGCCCUUGGGUUCGGAAUAACAGUGAGAAAUUGCUGCUAAUACCGGAUGUUGUCUUCGGACCAAAGAUUUAUCGCCCAGGGAUGAGCCCGCGUAGGAUUAGUUAGUUGGUGGGGUAAUGGCCUACCACGGCGACGAUCCUUAGCUGGUCUGAGAGGAUGAUCAGCCACACUGGGACUGAGACACGGCCCAGACUCCUACGGGAGGCAGCAGUGGGGAAUAUUGGACAGUGGGCGCAAGCCUGAACCAGCAAUGACGCGUAAGUGAUGAAGGCCUUAGGGUAGUAAAGCUCUUUUACCCGGGAUGAUAAUGACAGUACCGGGAGAAUAAGCGCCGGCUAACUCCGUG